GUUUACCGGCGAGACAACCUGGAUCGGGGAAGGCUAAGGUACCCCGUGGUGCUAUGCUAAUCCCGAGCGGAGCCCCCGCAGAGCGAUUUGCGGACGGCCCGUGUAGAGCGCGCUAAGGUGUCGGUCAGCUCACGUAGUUGGCUUAAGGGACGUGCCAUUCCCAUCCGAAAGGAUGGCUGCCAGCAUGAGCGCCCAUCACGUAAGGGCUGGCAGGUUCAAUCAUUCACACAGUCUGUGUGCGAUGCGGGAUCACUGCAUGUCGCUUCCAAAUGAAGAAGAAUGUUUGAACGUAGUUCGAAAAAGGCCAGCAGCCGCGGUAAUUCCAGCUCCAAUAGCGUAUAUUAAAGUUGUUGCAGUUAAAAAGCUCGUAGUUGAACCUUGGGCCUGGCUGGCCGGUCCGCCUCACCGCGUGCACUGGUCCGGCCGGGCCUUUCCUUCUGGAGAUCCGCAUGCCCUUCACUGGGCGUGUUGGGGAACCAGGACUUUUACUUUGAAAAAAUUAGAGUGUUCAAAGCAGGCCUUUGCUCGAAUACAUUAGCAUGGAAUAAUGGAAUAGGACGCGCGGUCCUAUUUUGUUGGUUUCUAGGACCGCCGUAAUGAUUAAUAGGGAUAGUCGGGGGCAUCAGUAUUCAAUUGUCAGAGGUGAAAUUCUUGGAUUUAUUGAAGACUAACUAUUGCGAAAGCAUUUGCCAAGGAUGUUUUCAUUAAUCAGUGAACGAAAGUUAGGGGAUCGAAGACGAUCAGAUACCGUCGUAGUCUUAACCGUAAACUAUGCCGACUAGGGAUCGGGCGAUGUUUCUAUCUUGACUCGCUCGGCACCUUACGAGAAAUCAAAG
rnacentral:rRNA from 1 species